rnacentral:rRNA from 1 species
AUUGAACGCUGGCGGCAGGCCUAACACAUGCAAGUCGAACGCAGUGGGGACGGGUGAGUAACACGUGGGUAACCUCCCAUCAGAGGGGAUAACACUUGGAUACAGGUGCUAAACCGAUACUGAUGGAUGGCCCCGCGGUGCAGUAGCUAGUUGGUGAGGUAACGGCUCACCAAGGCCACGAUGCAUAGCCGGCCUGAGAGGGUGAUCGGCCACACUGGGACUGAGACACGGCCCAGACUCAGACGGGAGGCAGCAGUGGGGAAUCGUCGGCAAUGGACGAAAGUCUGACCGAGCAACGCCGCGGGAGUGAAGAAGGUUGUCGGAUCGUAAAACUCUGUUGGUAGAGAAGCGGUAUCUAACCAGAAAGCCACGGCUAACUACGUGCCAGCCGCCGCGGUAAUAC